rnacentral:rRNA from 1 species
UACAGAGGUCCCAAGCGUUGUUCGGAUUCACUGGGCGUAAAGGGUGCGUAGGCGGUUUGACAAGUCUGAUGUGAAAUCCCGCAGCUUAACUGCGGAACUGCAUUGGAAACUGUUUGACUAGAGGAAUGGAGGGGAGACUGGAAUACUUGGUGUAGCAGUGAAAUGCGUAGAUAUCAGGUGGAACACCAGUGGCGAAGGCGAGUCUCUGGACAUUUCCUGACGCUGAGGCACGAAAGCCAGGGGAGCAAACGGG